rnacentral:piRNA from 1 species
UACAACUUCCUGGGUUGCUAUGAGAUGAA